rnacentral:rRNA from 1 species
UACGGAGGUGGCAAGCGUUGUUCGGAUUCAUUGGGCGUAAAGGGUGCGUAGGCGGCGGGGCAAGUCGGAUGUGAAAUCUCAGGGCUCAACCCUGAAACUGCAUUCGAUACUGCCUUGCUCGAGGACUGGAGAGGAGAUUGGAAUUCACGGUGUAGCAGUGAAAUGCGUAGAUAUCGUGAGGAAGACCAGUGGCGAAGGCGGAUCUCUGGACAGUUCCUGACGCUGAGGCACGAAGGCCAGGGGAGCAAACGGG